rnacentral:rRNA from 1 species
CCAAUAGCGUAUAUUAAAGUUGUUGCAGUUAAAAAGCUCGUAGUUGAAUUUCGGGGUCAGUAGGUUGGUCAUGCCCCUGGUAUGUACUGGUCUCACUGAUUCCUCCUUCCUGAUGAGCCGUAAUGCCAUUAAUUUGGUGUUGCGAGGAAUCUGGACUGUUACUUUGAAAAAAUUAGAGUGUUUAAAGCAGGCUAACGCUUGAAUACAUUAGCAUGGAAUAAUGAAAUAGGACGUUCGAUCUUAUUUUGUUGGUUUCUAAGAUUUACGUAAUGAUUAAUAGGGAUAGUUGGGGGCAUUAGUAUUCAAUUGUCAGAGGUGAAAUUCUUGGACUUAUUGAAGACUAACUACUGCGAAAGCAUUUGCCAAGGGUGUUUUCAUUAAUCAAGAACGAAAGUUAGGGGAUCGAAGACGAUCAGAUACCGUCGUAGUCUUAACCAUAAACUAUGCCGACUAGGGAUCGGAUGAUGUUAAUUUUUUAAUGACUCAUUCGGCGCCUUACG